UCUGCGCCUGGCCCGGCGACUGCGGGCGCUGCGGUCCACUGGGUCCGCCUCUUCCCGGCAUGGGUUUCUGCCCAGCUCACCCGCUGUCAGCUGGGGUCCUGCUCUGGUGGGAGGAAGAGGCUCAGACGCUUCCCUGCCCUCUCGCCUCAACCACCUCGAGGCAGCGGCUCCCAGGAUGUGCACUUUGACGACUAAAGCUGAGCCGGCGCCGCCACGACCUUGGGCGGGUGGUCGGCCUCUGCCCUGAGCAGGAAGUAGAAAGUCUCAGCAGACCCUUCCUGAGGGCCGAGCAACAGUGUAGUGGCGUAUUCCACAUAGCAAACAGAUGUACACUAGAUUUUGAUGGCAUUUUUCCAGGGACCCUGGGAGCAUCUGUGUUCUCGUGUUCUUCUUGCCUGUGAGGCCUCUUCUCUCUGAGGACAGAUGGUAGGACAGAGAGAAGACAGCAAAUGGAAAACAAAGGCUGCUAUUUUUUUGUGGGAGAAAAAGUCAUGUGAUGACACACCAAGAAGGUGGCUGUCUGCAAGCCAGGAAGAGAGGCCUUACCAGAAACCAAUCCUGGUGCACCUUAAUCUCAAACUUGAGCCUCCAGGACUGUACGAAAAUAAAUAUUUGUUGUGUAAGCACCCCCAGUGUAUGCUAUUCUGUUAUGGCAGCCCUAGCACACUAAUAUAAAUGCCUACUGCCUGCAAAGUGCUUUGCCUUUGAGGGUUGCAAAAGAGGAUCCCCUCCAGGGAUCCAUGGUCUCAUUGGGAUUUUCCUGUUUGGUCUGUGUCCUGUUCUUGAGUCUCCGCAGGCAGCAUUUCUUCCUGUGACAAUAUGGUGUAAGACAAAAUUGUGGCCUGCCAUGAAGUUGUGAGAGAAAAGCAUCCCUCAUUUCUUCAGGAAAGGCCACUGCCGUUCCCUCCGGCUCCUCUUCUCAGGAGUUUGUGCAUUCAUGAGGUGAAUUCCUUGGAAGAUGAGGGCCAAGUCUUAUUCUUCUCAGUCUCUUCUGCAUCUAGCAGAAGAAUAAUGGUUGCACAGAAAAUCUUGGUUCAGUGGUUGAGUGAAUGAAUGGAUGAACAGGCUCUUGCACACAAAGAAGAGACAUGAUGUAUUUGCAUCCUUCCCUGCUUCAGCCAGUUUUCUGAAGCUCAGAGGGACACCUUGUAUUGCUGGAUGAUAAAAACAGGAGCAAAGUGAUGAAGUGCUGACAAGGCAACAAUAGAACAUGAGAGAUUCACUGCUGUGUAGGAAGAGAUCUUCGGUGACCAUGUAGCCUGAAGCUCUCAUUUUGUCAUCGAGGGACACCAAAACUCAGAACAGCAGCAGCUCACGCUGCUGAUGCAACACAGGUGAAGAGCACCUUCCCCUCCCCCACCUGUGGGCUGAUUCCCACCACGUGGAUCCCAAGGCCAUCCCAGGAACUCUUUGGAGGGGAGAAGCCCAGUGGAAACUGUCAGGCCUCUGAGCACAAGCCAAGCCAUCGCAUCCCCUGUGACUUGCACGUAUAUGCCCAGAUGGCCUGAAGUAACUGAAGAAUCACAAAAGAAGUGAAAAGGCCCUGCCCCACCUUAACUGAUGACAUUCCACCAUUGUGAUUUGUUCCUGCCCCACCUUCACUGAGUGAUUAACCCUGUGAAUUUCCUUCUCCUGGCUCAGAAGCUCCCCCACUGAGCACCUUGUGACCCCCGCCCCUGCCCACCAGAGAACAACCCCCUUUGACUGUAAUUUUCCAUUACCUUCCCAAAUCCUAUAAAACGGCCCCACCCCUAUCUCCCUUCGCUGACUCUCUUUUCGGACUCAGCCCGCCUGCACCCAGGUGAAAUAAACAGCCAUGUUGCUCAC
rnacentral:lncRNA from 1 species